GCCGACGUAGCUCAGCUGGUAGAGCAGGCGCUUCGUAAGCGUCAGGUCGCCGGUUCGAGUCCGGCCGUCGGCUCCA
rnacentral:tRNA from 1 species